UAACGGAUUUUAUAAACCAAAUAUGUUAAAAGUUUAGAUUCAUGUUUUUUUUAGAUACAUGUAAUAGAAAUUAAACUUUUAAUAAAAUUGAGACCAUUUGAUAAAUUUACAUUUCAAUCAUAAAAGCCAUUAAUUUCUUUUUAUUCACUCUGCACGGCAACAACGCUCAUUGAUACACUCUAGAAUGUCGAGGUGGAUUGACUCCGGUAAAGUUAGAAUGGCAGUGAAAUUGAGUUCAGCACAAAUAUAUACUAGGGAAUCAGCGGGAACAACAGCUGUUUUCUUUUCUAUUAGUUUAUACUGAAGAGGAUCGGCCUGACGGUCAUAGUAAAGGCCGGAAAACACUUCAGUUCCGCGAGGUAAUCUUGUCCCCCAAGAAUCGGUAGAGCUUUUGCUUAAAACAUUUAGAGUUUUCUUUACAAGCAAUAAAAAAUAGUCAUAAUCCGAGUCGUCUGUAAACACUGCAAUUAUACUUUCACAAGAAACUAAAGAUGUCAUUGGCAAAGUGUUUUCUGAAAUUUCAGCUUCGUCGUUUGAUUGUAAAUGGUGUUCUCGUUCCAUAAUGUGAAAACGAGAAUUUCCUGUUUUUGAGACAUUUAAACAUUCUUCCUCUAUAUUAUUGGAACAAUUUUCACACGAAAAACAGGACAGGUCGUUUAACGAUAAAUGACCUUCUGAAUUUUGAUUUCGAACACUAUGAAUAGAUCGUAUUUUGUUAACAGGUUUAAAAGACAAAGGAAAAUCGCGCUGAAUUGUUUCUAAAUAUCUAAAUAUUCGUCUUCUGCAGGUUCCUGAUUUGGUAGAUGUCAGGGAUUUAGUACCAAAAUCAUACAAGUCUUUUGCGGUCUGAAUACGGCAACGACCUCUCAACACUGCUAUAUCUGCUUGUCGUUUUAAAAUUCCUCCGGCUGCAUCUUGUGGUCCU
rnacentral:lncRNA from 1 species